CAGAUCUGCAUGGUGUCUGCUGGUAGAUAGGGUUGAAAAGUGCAGGCACUGCUGCCGCUGUAAAAGAAGAACCACCAUCUGCCUUACCUGAUCUUGAUCGCUCAUUCACAGGGACUCACGCUGCCAUGCUUCUUGUGCCAGAGCUCCAAGUCCUUCGCUGCCACCUGUCUUAGUUCUUCCACCUCCUUCCCUACUCGCGACAGGGGACGCUGUUAGCCGCCUCGGCUCCUGAUUCCGAGGGUCUGGCCAUUGCAUCAAUUCCUGCUACUGACGUUCUGGCUGGUUCCGUCUCGGCCGUCCUCCUGAACUCUGUGCCUCCUCAAGAUGACCUUCCAGUGGCCUUUCUGAACUGUGCCUACUUGGGAUGAUCCCCUGGUGGCCCGCCUGAACUCUGUACCUCCUUGGAAAGACCUCAUGGUCACUCGCCUAGACUCUGUUUUGUGUUUUGUUUUUGUUUCUUGCCCUCCUUCCGAGGCUCCCUCCUCCUGCCCUUUUUGGGUUGUUUUGUAUUAUCUCUUGUCUCCUUCACACUGUUCGCACCAGCUCCAUGCCUGUUAUUAUGCCCAUGUUCAAUGUUCCAUGUCUUUCAUUGUCAGUUACCAGUUCAGUCUUCUAAUCAUUUUAGUUUUCUACUCACCAUGCCACUUCCAAGCUUCCAUUGGCAUUUUGGUCCAACAAACAAUCCACUCAAUGUGGCAGAAACCACUGAUUUAAAACAGGAGAUAUUUUUUUUGUGAAGAAAGUUAUCAGCAUCUCCUAAAGUGAAAACCUUUAGUUUUUUUUCUUUCUGAAUGACACAAAAAAUAAAAUUUGUGAAAACAUUAGUGCAUAUCUCUAGUAAUAAAGUUUUUCAUACAUCUGGCAAAAAACAAAUAAUAUGGUUAAUAAGGCAAAUGAAAGGGCAAAACGCAGAUGGGAUUAGUAAGGACACUGCAGCAGCAGGAAGAAUAAUUCUUUUAUUAACAGCUCGUUGGAAGGAGGCAAUGAUGAGUUGUUUUGCAAAGAGGGCUAAUACAGCGGUUAAGUUGAAAUAUCGUAUAAAUACACUUACAAAAGCAGUUGUGUAGUGACAUAUUGUGUAAGUUCUCUUGUUUGUAGUUGGCUAGCUAGUAAUAGCAGAAAAGAGUCAGGGAAUGAGUUAAUAGAGAUGAUGAAUUAUGAUUCCUGAGUCAGUCAUUUAAAUCACGAGUUUUGAAUGAUUUAUUUGUUCAGGACUCGCAGAUCACUUGAACGGGACUGCUCACUGCAGUCAGCUGGGAUUCCUUAGAUUACUUUUUUCACCAAUUGGCAUAAAAUCUAAUGUUACAUCAAGUUAGCCUUAGAUCUGCUGAAUGUGACUGUUUUGCAUUAUUAUUUUCAUUGAAUUAAGAUGUAUGUAGUUCAAUCUGAAUCUGACUGUAUGACUGAAUUAUUUUGGAAUCAAAUUAGACUAAGGUGUAUUGUUUUUCCUGAAAUGAAUUGGACCGGUGUGUUUUGUGAAGGGCCUUAAAAUGGCAACCGGUAUAAAUCGCACAAAUUACUUGACUUGACUUGAAUGUUCCACUGUGGCACAGUUGCUAGUGUUGUUAUCUCAGAACCAGGGCCUUUGUAUAUUGGAUGUUUACCCUAUGUAUGCGUGUGUUCUUUGUUGUGAAAUAGGUAUUUGACAUUUAGUUUAAAGGUUGUGUUUACCUGAAACCUGACUCAUUUCAAACUAAUUACUUUAGUCAUACUUUUAUGUAACAUGAGUAAAAUGUUUAUUCUCCUCCCCUGAGUCAAGGUACAGUACACCCACUAUACAACACUCAGCAGUACUUAGUUUUUGUAGUUUAGUUGUUUUUUUUAAAGAGCAUGCAGUUCAGACUUGUCUGCUGCUUAGAACAGACAUGUGUUUUGCUACAUAGUGAAAUCUAAAAAGGAGCUUGACCGUCAUUGCCUGAAGGAUCCUGUCCCAAUGGCCAACGUCGGGUUCCUACCUUGGUGGCUAGUGCUCCUCCAGUUUGAGGACUUCCUACAAGACACUUCCUCAGGCCGAUGCUCCUAGUCUCCUCAACGCACCUGUCCUCUAGCUACACUGUGGCUCAGCAACCCAUCGCUCACCUGCCUGUCCACCCUCAGCCUGAUGUAGUGCUCCCAUCAGUCUCACGCUGGAGAAAGGCAAAACAGAUGCUCAGCCAGCACAAGCCUCUCAAAUGCCCCAAACCUGUCAACCUCAGACUCAGAGAGUUACUCACCUUCCCCGGACUUUCACCUUCAUCCACAAACAAAGACCAUAACGGAACUGCACAAACUGUACUCUGGCUGUUCUCGCUGCAUCUCCUGACUGAGCCCGCCUGCCUGUCCGCUCUCCAACGAUUCCUCCCACGGACAAGUGGUCUCAGCCGCCCCACUCGCUUACCAUUUUCCCACGGAGUUUUGUCUCGGAUCCUCGGAGAACCUCCACCGGAGCACGCCCCCACAUCGCUGACAUUCCCCGAGUGUACCUUCCAGCUCUGAACAAAUCCCAGACCCGGCCCUGGCUUACCGGCCUCUCUGUUCCUGAGCUGAAUAAAACUUGUUACAAAUGUU